AUACGUAGGGGGCGAGCGUUGUCCGGAAUGAUUGGGCGUAAAGGGCGCGUAGGCGGCCCGGUAAGUCUGGAGUGAAAGUCCUGCUUUUAAGGGGGGAAUUGCUUUGGAUACUGUCGGGCUUGAGUGCAGGAGAGGUAAGUGGAAUUCCCCGUGUAGCGGUGAAAUGCGUAGAGAUUGGGAGGAACACCAGUGGCGAAGGCGACUUACUGGACUGUAACUGACGCUGAGGCGCAAAAGUGUGGGGAGCAAACAGGAUUAGAUACCCUGGUAGUCCACACUGUAAACGAUGAAUGCUAGGUGUAGGGGGUAUCGACCCCUUCUGUGCCGCAGUUAACACAAUAAGCAUUCCGCCUGGGGAGUACGGCCGCAAGGUUGAAACUCAAAGGAAUUGACGGGG
rnacentral:rRNA from 1 species